CUCAAAUUCUCAUUCUCAUACUUUAUCAAUUCACACUUCCAGAAUCUUCUGAGUUCUCUCUCUUUGGCAUUCAUAGCAGCAAAAAAUUAGCAUCCAUGGCUACACCAAGUGUACAAGAAGUUUUACCACGAUCACUUGAUUCUACUUCUCAACCCCCGUCUCUCUUCGACGGAACUACCAGGUUAUACAUCAAUUAUAUGUGCCCCUAUGCUCAGCGUGUGUGGAUUAUCAGGAACGUCAAGGUUCGUUUCACUAGUUUAUGAUUUGGCUAGUAUGGCUCAUAUGCUUGCUCCAUUUUUAUAUGCAAUUUUUUAAUAACCGAGAAAUCUCGAGGGCCAGCUGGCUCAAGAAGUCAGUCGAUAGCGUCUCUCUACCCUUCUCCACUUAAAUACUAGGCUUUUGCUUGCAACAAGGUUCAAACAUGUGACGUGAGCCUAAUCCACACAUCACGAGCUAUGCUGUCACAUUAUUAUUGUUUGGAGAACCAAAGUUUUUCUUUUACUAAGAUUAUUUCAAAAACCUUGUACUUUUUAAACUAUUGUGACUUGCAGCAAUGGUACUUUUGAAAUUUCUAAAUAUGCCAAGUUUGAUUUAAAAAAAUUAAAAUUUAACGUCUGAAUUCAUCAAAAUUAAGUGCUCAACCCUUAUCCAAACACCAGAAGCAAGCUACCUGGUAUUCCUCCUUUUAAGUUGUGUAUAUUGCUUCAUUUGGUCUGCCGUGGACUAUC